rnacentral:rRNA from 1 species
AGAGUUUGAUCCUGGCUCAGAUUGAACGCUGGCGGCGUGCCUAACACAUGCAAGUCGAGCGGUAACAGGUGUAGCAAUACAUGCUGACGAGCGGCGAACGGGUGAGUAAUGCUUUGGAAUCUUCCCAGUAGUGGGGAAUAACCAGUCGAAAGAUUGGCUAAUACCGCAUACGUCUGUAAAGGGAAAGCGGGGGCUCGUAAGACCUCCGCGCUAUUGGAUGAGCCAAAGUCGGAUUAGCUAGUUGGUGGGGUAAUGGCCUACCAAGGCGACAAUCCGUAGCUGGUCUGAGAGGACGACCAGCCACACCGGAACUGAGACACGGUCCGGACUCCUACGGGAGGCAGCAGUGGGGAAUAUUGGACAAUGGGGGACACCCUGAUCCAGCGACGCCGCGUGUGUGAAGAACGCCUGCGGGUUGUAAAGCACUUUUAGUGGGGA